rnacentral:rRNA from 1 species
GUGGGGAAUAUUGGACAAUGGGCGCAAGCCUGAUCCAGCCAUGCCGCGUGUGUGAAGAAGGUCUUCGGAUUGUAAAGCACUUUAAGUUGGGAGGAAGGGCGCUUGGCUAAUACCCAAGGGUUUUGACGUUACCAACAGAAUAAGCACCGGCUAACUUCGUGCCAGCAGCCGCGGUAAUACGAAGGGUGCGAGCGUUAAUCGGAAUUACUGGGCGUAAAGCGCGCGUAGGCGGUUUGUUAAGUUGGAGGUGAAAUCCCCGGGCUCAACCUGGGAAGUGCCUCCAAAACUGGCUGACUAGAGUACGGUAGAGGGUGGUGGAAUUUCCUGUGUAGCGGUGAAAUGCGUAGAUAUAGGAAGGAACACCAGUGGCGAAGGCGACCACCUGGACUGAUACUGACGCUGAGGUGCGAAAGCGUGGGGAGCAAACAGG